rnacentral:rRNA from 1 species
UGAGGAAUAUUGGUCAAUGGGCGAGAGCCUGAACCAGCCAAGUAGCGUGCAGGAAGACGGCCCUAUGGGUUGUAAACUGCUUUUAUGUGGGGAUAAAGUGCGUGACGUGUCAUGCAUUGCAGGUACCAUAUGAAUAAGGACCGGCUAAUUCCGUGCCAACAGCCGCGGUAAUACGGAAGGUUCGGGCGUUAUCCGGAUUUAUUGGGUUUAAAGGGAGCGUAGGCCGUUUGGUAAGCGUGUUGUGAAAUGUAGGAGCUCAACUUCUAGAUUGCAGCGCGAACUGUCAGACUUGAGUGCGCACAACGUAGGCGGAAUUCAUGGUGUAGCGGUGAAAUGCUUAGAUAUCAUGAAGAACUCCGAUUGCGAAGGCAGCUUACGGGAGCGCAACUGACGCUGAAGCUCGAAGGUGCGGGUAUCGAACAGG